CGUUGGUGCCAUUGGUUGGUACAUGAAAUCAGGUGGAAAGAAGCAGCAGCCAGAGGUUCAAGAGUGAAAGAUUGAUGGGAGUAGCGAGUGAAUAAAACAGAAGAGAGUGGCUUUUUACUCCUUCCUCUCUUGUGAGAAACUCUGGAAUUGCUACUUGUCUCUCUUUUCUUUUGGGUUUGGUUUCAAAAUCUUGAAUACAGUUUGUUGACAUUUAUUUUUGAAUCUUUAACUACAUAAAAGACUCUUCUUCUCUGCUCUGAUCAGAAUUAGUGAAAAUUAUAAGACUUAAAUAACCC
rnacentral:lncRNA from 1 species